UACAGAGGUCCCAAGCGUUGUUCGGAUUCACUGGGCGUAAAGGGUGCGUAGGCGGUCGGGUAAGUCUGAUGUGAAAUCUCACAGCUUAACUGUGAAACUGCAUUGGAUACUAUUCGGCUUGAGAGUUGGAGGGGGGACUGGAAUUCUUGGUGUAGCAGUGAAAUGCGCAGAUAUCGGGAGGAACACCGGUGGCGAAGGCGGUUCUCUGGGCCUUACCUGACGCUGAGGAGCGAAAGCGUGGGGAGCGAACAGG
rnacentral:rRNA from 1 species